GCCUCUAUAGCACAGUGGCAGUGCGCAGCACUCGUAAUGCUGAGGUCGGGUGUUCGAUCCACCCUGGAGGCA
rfam:Rhodotorula graminis WP1 unplaced genomic scaffold RHOBAscaffold_12, whole genome shotgun sequence.